AACGAACGCUGGCGGCAUGCCUAACACAUGCAAGUCGAACGAGACCUUCGGGUCUAGUGGCGCACGGGUGCGUAACGCGUGGGAACCUGCCCUUAGGUUCGGAAUAACUCCCCGAAAGGGGUGCUAAUACCGGAUAAUGUCUUCGGACCAAAGAUUUAUCGCCUUUGGAUGGGCCCGCGUUGGAUUAGCUAGUUGGUAGGGUAAAAGCCUACCAAGGCGACGAUCCAUAGCUGGUCUGAGAGGAUGAUCAGCCACACUGGGACUGAGACACGGCCCAGACUCCUACGGGAGGCAGCAGUGGGGAAUAUUGGACAAUGGGCGAAAGCCUGAUCCAGCAAUGCCGCGUGAGUGAUGAAGGCCUUAGGGUUGUAAAGCUCUUUUACCCGGGAUGAUAAUGCCAGUACCGGGAGAAUAAGCUCCGGCUAACUCCGU
rnacentral:rRNA from 1 species